GUGCUUGCUUCAGCAGCACAUAUACUAAAAUUGGAAUCAAAGGAGAUUAGUACAGCCCUGUGCAAGGAUGACAUGAAAAUUCAUGAAGCAUUUCAUAUUAAU